rnacentral:lncRNA from 1 species
GCGCCAUGGCGCUGUCCUGGCUGCAGCGCGUCGAGCUUGCGCUCUUUGCUGCCGCCUUCCUGUGCGGGGCCGUGGCGGCCGCGGCGAUGACUCGGACCCAGCACCAUCCCUGUGCUACUUUGUAGCUGGGGCCUCUGGCCUCUUGGCCCUCUACUGCCUCCUGCUUUUGCUCUUCUGGAUCUACAGCAGCUGCAUCGAGGACUCCCACAGGCUUGUUCUCUCCCUUUCAGAGGUGCUAUAGGGCUGCGCAUUGCACUGGCCAUCUCAGCUAUAGCCGUCUUCCUGGUCUUGGUGUCUGCCUGUAUCCUUCGAUUUGGCACCAGGUCUCUCUGCAACUCCAUCAUCUCCUUGAACACUACAAUUAGCUGUUCUGAAGCCCAGAAAAUUCCAUGGACACCCCCUGGAACUGCUCUGCAGUUUUACUCCAACCUACACAAUGCUGAAACCUCUUCUUGGGUGAAUUUGGUAUUGUGGUGUGUGGUCUUGGUGCUCCAGGUCGUGCAGUGGAAGUCUGAAGCCACCCCAUACCGGCCUCUGGAGAGGGGUGACCCUGAGUGGAGCUCUGAGACAGAUGCUCUCGUUGGGUCACGCCUUUCCCAUUCCUGAAGAAUAAGCGGAGUGCUUCCUGCAGCCGAAGACUCCAUGCCCAAGUGCCUGUAAUCCCCCCCCUCAAGGCCCUGUUUAUGUUGGGAGUCUUAGUUUUCCUUUCGUUGGGGGGUGGGGGGGAAACAUAAUGACAGGCCCCCCUCCACCUCUUCCUGCAGCUGUUUUUGUACCAAAAUAUUAUAUUACUGUCUUCAUCUUAGUAGUGAGUUUUUGAUGUUAAAGUACAACUAGAUAGGAGGAAGGAGUGAAGGCUAAGCAGACAUGGACUGAAACUUAGAGGUACUGUUAGGCAGCUGCCCUAGGGAUGACUGCUCCUUUAUUUGUUGUUAAUGAAUCUUGACCUCCUUGUGU